rnacentral:rRNA from 1 species
UACGUAGGGGGUAAGCGUUGUCCGGAAUCAUUGGGCGUAAAGAGCGUGUAGGCGGCUCGGUAAGUCCGCUGUGAAAGUCCAGGGCUCAACCCUGGAAUGCCGGUGGAAACUGUCGAGCUAGAGUCCGGAAGAGGCGAGUGGAAUUCCUGGUGUAGCGGUGAAAUGCGCAGAUAUCAGGAGGAACACCAAUGGCGAAGGCAGCUCGCUGGGACGGUACUGACGCUGAGACGCGAAAGCGUGGGGAGCAAACAGG